GCCUUAGACGGUGGUGUAGUGGUAGUAGCACGCGUCCCCGGUAUGGAUGAAACGCAGGUUCGAUUCCCGCCUGAGGCC